AGUGAACGCUGGCGGCAGGCCUAACACAUGCAAGUCGAACGGCAGCACGGCGGUAGCAAUACCGUGGGUGGCGAGUGGCGGACGGGUGAGGAAUACAUCGGGAUCUACCCUGUUGUGGGGGAUAACGUAGGGAAACUUACGCUAAUACCGCAUAAGAACUGAGGUUGAAAGCGGCGGACCGCAAGGCGUCGCGCGAUUGGAUGAACCGAUGUCCGAUUAGCUAGUUGGCGGGGUAAAGGCCCACCAAGGCGACGAUCGGUAGCUGGUCUGAGAGGACGACCAGCCACACUGGAACUGAGACACGGACCAGACUCCUACGGGAGGCAGCAGUGGGGAAUAUUGGACAAUGGGCGCAAGCCUGAUCCAGCCAUGCCGCGUGGGUGAAGAAGGCCCUCGGGUUGUAAAGCCCUUUUGUCCGGAAAGAAAAGUAUUCGGUUAAUACCCGGGUGUUCUGACGGUACCGGAAGAAUAAGCACCGGCUAACUUCGUGCCAGCCGCCGCGGUAAAAC
rnacentral:rRNA from 1 species